rnacentral:rRNA from 1 species
AGUGAACGCUGGCGGCAGGCCUAAUACAUGCAAGUCGAGCGAACGGACGAGGAGCGCUCUCCUUUAAGGGUGGCGACUGACGGAUGGGUAAGACAUACGUAGGAUACCUAUUAUACUGGGGGGACAUCGGGGGGCAAGAGCUGCUAAUGCAGAAUACGUCCAACGGGAUGGAUCGAUAGUGCAAGAGAGCUUUGCUGUCACAUAGAGAUGAUGUGGCGCCGGAUUAGUUAGUUGGUAAGGUAACGGCUCACCAAGGCAACGAUCCGUAGCUGAUCUGAGAGGAUGAUCGGCCACACUGGAACUGAGACACGGUCCAGACUCCUACGGGAGGCAGCAGUGGGGAAUAUUGGACAAUGGGCGCAAGCCUGAUCCAGCCAUGCCGCGUGAGUGAAGAAGGCCUUCGGGUUGUAAAGCCCUUUUGUUGGGAAAGAAAAGCAGCAGGUUAAUCCCCCGCUGUUCUGACGGUACCCAAAGAAUAAGCACCGGCUAACUUCGUG